ensembl:lncRNA
GGCAGUUUGAUGCUGAUUGCCAUCUCAUUUCACCUCUAGUUGAAAGAAGCAUUUAUUUUGACGUUCAGCGGCGCAUUUUUUAAAAUCGAGGAAGAGAGAAUAUUGGUUGGUUGCGAGAUACAGAAGAAUAAGAACAUACAGAAGAAGAGAUAAUAUUUCUACAGCUCCACGAGCUCUUUUCGCGGUUGGCAAAAGCAUGGUAUUUGAAGUAAAUUUUAAGUUUUAGCAUCGGGUUUAGAUUUCCUGAAAACUUUUACGAAAGUUGAGUUGCUAUAUGUAUCAAGGGAUGACACAGAGACCUCUGGCUCUGAGCAAGACAGUGAGCCAGAGCUGCCUGGAGAUGUCAUCGAGCACCAGAUAUGCUGUUCCAAAAUGACCCAACUUUAAACUACACAUUUUAGUUAGCAGCUGUUAGUAUCUAAUCUUGUAGAUCCCUUAAUUAUACAUUUCCAUAGAAAGAUGACACAUUAUUUAAUGUGUAUUUCAGAUAUUUCAAGAUCCAGAGAAGAAGGUCCUGUACAGCUGUGUUUGAAAACAUUUCACAGAACUCAGCUUGGUACUAGGAACAGGCCUUUCAACAGCUGGUAUAAGGACAAUUCAUGGCUUGAAUAUUCUGUAAAUCAAGAUUUGACUUAUUGUUUCUCCUGUAGACAUUUUUCUCUGCUCAAUACACCUGAAUCUGCCUUCACAUCACAGUCAGGUUUUUGUAACUGGAAAAAAAAGGGUCUGUUUAAAGAUUCUGGGUUUAAGCUCCAUUCGAAGGCAGAGCAUCAUAUCAAUGCUAUGUAUGCUUGGAAUCAGCAUAACAGGGCUAUUGACAGCAACUCAUCAAUGUUAGAUGUCAUAAAUGAGGACCGGAAAAGAAAGUGGAGAAAAACUGUACUUACAUUAAAACUAUUGCAGAUGUGCUCCUAUUAACUGCCACUCAAAAUAUGGCACAGAGUUCACCGAGAGUCUAAUGACUCACAACAAGGGACAUUUUUUGACAGUAUUAGAAGAAAUAGCAAAGCAUGACACUCAGAGAAAAGGAUGAAUGCAUGUGGCAAUGCUAAGUACACAAGCCACGAAAUCCAGAACAAAGUUCUUGAGGGCUUAGCUGAGAUGGUACAAAGUGAAGUAAUAAGAGAAUUAAAAGAAAGUGAAGUUUUUAGUGUAAUUGCAGAUGAAACCAAAGAUUUAAAGAAAAAAUAACAAAUGUCUUUAGUUGUGACGUACUGUUACAACGGGGCCAUCCACAAAAGCUUGUUACACUUUCAGUCAGCUGAAAGCUUAGAUGCAGCAGGUCUCACAAAAAUGAAAAUUGAUUGGCUUGAAAAACAUGUUCUGGACUACAGAAAUAAUCUUGUGGGGCAAGGCUACGACAGUGCAUCCAUCAUGAGCGGAAAGUAUUCUGGUGUGUCCGCACGGAUUAAAAACAGUGCAAGAUUUGCAUUUUAUGUGCACUGUAAUGCGCAUUGUUUGAAUUUGGCUCUUGUGGAUGCUGUAAAAUCAGUGCCUGAGGCAGUUAAAGCUUCUGCAGGAGAGCAAAAAAGUUCUAGCUUUGUAUCUGGCUUGUAUGUUCAUCUCAAGUGGCUUGCAGUUCAGAAAGAGCUGUAUCCACAGCAGCAGUCCCUCUGGUCAGGAUUAAAACCUGCACUGGUGACUAGCUAGUAUACUGACAUUCUAAAAUUAUACAUCCAAGGGGUAUCAUGUCACACAGAUUUAAUUUGGUCUUGAUUAGGCCAAUUCCAAAACUUUUCUUUGCUAUUAGUUAACAUAAUAUAUUUUAGCAUAAAUAUGAUACUGUAAGUUUAAUAUCGAUGGGUGACAAAAAGUCAAUUUCUUGAUACCUGGUAUGUCAAAUUGCAGUGUUUUUUGGAAAUAAACUGCAAUUUAUGU